ACUAACACCUUCAGUUGCAAAACAUAUUUAAAGCAAACAGGUUCUGGUUAGUGCAGUGAGUUGAUUUUGCAAUCUACAAAAUGCAGAUGACCACGAUUUUCCUUGGAUUAUUCCUGCUUGUAGCGAUGGUUCAAGGGCGAACUUUCGAGUUAGGAAAAAUGAUCAACGACAUUGGAAAUCAAGUCGCGACCGAUUUGCAAAAAACAAUUGGAUUUCCUCACCAAGUGACUAGUGACUUGCUUGGAGCAGCCGGAAACGUACAAAUUCCUUUGCUUGAUUCAAAUAAAUAGCGCAACCUUUAAAGUUAUUUUAGAAAUGUACCCCCUGACUAAAAAAUAAAUUGUUU
rnacentral:lncRNA from 1 species